CAUGAGUGGCGGACGGGUGAGUAACGCGUGGGCAACCUGGCCUGUACAGGGGGAUAACACUUAGAAAUAGGUGCUAAUACCGCAUAACGGGAGAAGCCGCAUGGCUUUUUCCUGAAAACUCCGGUGGUACAGGAUGGGCCCGCGUCUGAUUAGCCAGUUGGCAGGGUAACGGCCUACCAAAGCGACGAUCAGUAGCCGGCCUGAGAGGGUGAACGGCCACAUUGGGACUGAGACACGGCCCAAACUCCUACGGAAGGCAGCAG
rnacentral:rRNA from 1 species